GGGGUGUACCUAGGGUAAGUGCUUGAUUGAAGUUUGGUGAUCUUAGACUUGACAUGAGUCUUUUUGCGGCUUAAAUUGCAUAAGAUAUUUGAUGCAGCUUUGGUGAUCUUAUAAUCCAUAAUAUACAGUUAUAAUUAAUGUUCCAAGUCGAAUAGUCCAAGUCAUUUAUCAGGUGGUCUACAAUCACCGGGGACACUGACCAUCGAAGGACCAAGGAAAACUUUAUAUACGCCACUAUUCCGAUGCC
rnacentral:lncRNA from 1 species